GAAGAAACCGGGUUGCUGUACCGACUCUGAUAAGGUAUCCCGAGUGAGCCAUGUUUCCGUUAAACAGAGAAUGUUACAAUCUCUGUCUCUCUGGAAGGCAACCCUUGCUCGAAUUUCGUCUACCUUGUUGUCAAGAGAAUGGACAUUGGCGAGUAGUAUACUCGGGAGCGGUGAGCAAUGUGGCCGUCAACGAAGCCUGACCAGAAGACCGCUCCGUGUGUCUUGCCCCUUCUGCGGCGCCGUUGUUUUGGGUCGCCUACUGGGAUCCAUUCCAUUGUCCUGGGUGGUGGUCUGAACAGAGGAUCCACUUCGGGAAAGUCGUAUUCCUGGUCGUAAUGUUUGUCACAGACGUGCUGAAUGGGAUUGCGAUCCGGGCUCUUCACUGGCCAUGGUAGAACACUGACAUUCAUGUCUUGCAGGAAAUCAUGCACAGAACGAGCAGCGUGGCUGGUGGCAUUGUCAUGCUGGAGGGUCAUGUCAGGAUGAGCCUGCAGGAAGGGUACCACAUGAGGGAGGAGGAUGUCUUCCCUGUAACGCACAGCGUUGAGAUUGCCUGCAUUGACAACAAGCUCAGUCCGAUGAUGCUGUGACACACCGCCCCUGACCAUGACUGACCCUCCACCUCCAAAUCGAUCCCGCUCCAGAGUACAGGCCUUGGUGUAAUGCUCAUUCCUUCGACGAUAAACGCAAAUCCGACAUCACCCCUGAUGAGACAAAACCGCGACUUGUCAGUGAAGAGCACUUUUUGCCAGUCCUGUCUGGUCCAGCAACGGUGUGAGGUUCGGAUGUACCGAUCCUGUGCAGGUGUUGUUACACGUGGUCUGCCAAUGCGAGGAUGAUCAGCUGUCCGUCCUGUCUCCCUGUAGCACUGUCUUAGGCAUCUCAUAGUCCGGACAAAGCAAUUUAUUGCCGUAGCCACAUCUGCAGUUCUCAUGCCUCCUUGCAGCAUGCCUAAGGCACGUAUACGCAGAUGAGCAGGGACCCUGGGCAUCUUUCUUUUGGUGUUUUUCAGAGUCAGUAGAAAUGCCUCUUUAGUGUCCUAAGUUUUCAUAACUGUGACCUUAAUUGCCUACCGUCUGUAAGCUGUUAGUGUCUUAACGACCGUUCCACCGGUGCAUGUUCAUUAAUUGUUUAUGUUCAUUGAACAAUCAUGGGAAACAGUGUUUAAACCCUUUACAAUAAAGUUCUGUGAAGUUAUUUGAACUUUUACGAAUUAUCUUUGAAAGACAGGGUCCUGAAUAAGGGACAUUUCUUUUUUGCUGAGAUUAUUCUAAAAGUACUUUACCACCUUCAAAAUAUCGUUCUGUGAAUCAUGCGUGACUC
rnacentral:lncRNA from 1 species